rnacentral:rRNA from 1 species
UACCAGCACCCCGAGUGGUCGGGACGAUUAUUGGGCCUAAAGCAUCCGUAGCCGGUCCUACAAGUCUUCCGUUAAAUCCACCUGCUUAACAGAUGGGCUGCGGAAGAUACUAUAGGGCUAGGAGGCGGGAGAGGCAAGCGGUACUCAGUGGGUAGGGGUAAAAUCCUCUGAUCCAUUGAAGACCACCAGUGGCGAAGGCGGCUUGCCAGAACGCGCUCGACGGUGAGGGAUGAAAGCUGGGGGGAGCAACCGG